UACGAGUGCCUCAAGCGUUAUCCGGAAUCAUUGGGCGUAAAGGUUGUGUAGGUGGUUGUAUUAGUCUUCUGUUAAAUUCUUCGGCUUAACCGGGGGCAUGCAGAGGAAACGGUACAACUAGAGGAUGCGAGGGGUCUGUGGAACUCAUAGUGUAGCGGUGAAAUGCGUUGAUAUUAUGGGGAACACCAAAAGCGAAGGCAGCAGACUGGAGCACUCCUGACACUGAAACAAGAAAGCGUGGGUCGCGAAUGGG
rnacentral:rRNA from 1 species